rnacentral:rRNA from 1 species
UACGGGGGGAGCAAGCGUUGUUCGGAUUUACUGGGCGUAAAGGGCGCGUAGGCGGCGCAACAAGUCACUUGUGAAAUCUCCGGGCUUAACUCGGAAAGGUCAAGUGAUACUGUUGUGCUAGAGUGCGGAAGGGGCAACUGGGAAUUCUCGGUGUAGCGGUGAAAUGCGUAGAUAUCGAGAGGAACACCUGCGGCGAAGGCGGGUUGCUGGGCCGACACGUGACGCUGGACGGCGCGAAAG